UUAUUGUCGGGGUAAUGUAUCGAUAGAGAAAAAUGUGGAGUAAAUUAUCCAAUGCCAGAAUAGAUGGGGGGGGUUAAUGGGGUGGCAGGUAGUAACUUCAACAUGGUCUGCACGUUAAUGAGCGGUCGGGUGAUAAGUUUUCUGUUUCAAUGGUUCAGAAUUUCAAAGAUAAUAUUGAUAGCUUGGCUUGGAAGACAUUCCACUUAAAGGUGGGAAAUGGACCUGGAGCAAUCAAAGGGAUCAGCCUUCUUUUUCCAGAAUUGAUAUAUUCUUGGUCUCCACCGAGCUUUUUUUUGUCUCUCCUGGGUCUCAGCCAAACGAUGGGGCCUAUACCGUUUCGACUUGACAACAAGUGGCUAUUAGUGAACAGCUUUCAAUCCAUGGUCAGUGAUGUUUGGAAUCAACCGAUUGAGAAUGGCACCACAAGUUACAGGCUCUCCAAAAAGCUUAUCCGUCUCAAGCAGGAAAGAAAAUAGUGGACUAAGGAAGUGGGGAUGAAGGAAGAUAACCGAACCAAUAAACUGUUAAACGAGUUGGGUGAUCUGGAAAAAAUGACAAAUGACGCUGAUCUGUAUGCAGAGAACAGUGAGAAAAAUAAAUAAUCCGAGAGUGGAACUUGCAAACAGACUUCACAUGGAAGCAAUUUCUUGAAAGCAGAAAGCCCAAGAAAAGUGGAUUAAAGAUGGGGAUAAAAAUACAAAAUUCUUUCACUGUUUGACGAACCAUAGAAGAUGGAUCAAUUUUGUGGAGGAAUUUUAUGUCAAUAGCUGUCCGAUCAGUGGAAAGGAGGCCAAGAGGGAAACUGCAAAAAAACAUUUCAAAAUAUUAUAUCAAGAAGCAUUUGAGCAAAGACCUAUUCUUGACAAUAUGCAUUUCAACAAAAUAGAGGAGGCUGAUAGAUCAAUUCUUGAAGCUGAACUUUCUGGAGAAAAAAUUUUUGAUUGUCUAAAAAAGUGUGAUGGGGACAAAGCUCCGAGGCCCGACGGUUUCAAUUUAAAAUUCUUUCAAGAAUUUUGGUAUGUGAUAAAAAAAAAGAUGUGCUUGAUUUCUUUAAGGAUUUUCACAAGAACAGAUCAUUUGUUAAA